UGCCAGCAGCCGCGGUAAUACGGAGGGCUCGAGCGUUAAUCGGAAUCACUGGGCUUAAAGGGUGCGUAGGCGGGCUUGUAAGUACUUUGUGAAAUCCCACGGCUCAACCGUGGAACUGCUCGGUAUACUGCAAGCCUUGAGGUCGGUAGAGGCUGUCGGAACUCUAGGUGUAGCGGUGAAAUGCGUAGAUAUCUAGAGGAACGCCCAAGGUGAAGACAGGCAGCUGGGCCGAAUCUGACGCUGAGGCACGAAAGCGUGGGUAGCGAACGGGAUUAGAUA
rnacentral:rRNA from 1 species